UACGUACUGUGCGAACGUUAUUCGGAAUCACUGGGCUUAAAGGGUGCGUAGGCGGCCAAUCAAGUAGGGUGUGAAAGGUUACGGCUCAACCGUGACAUUGCGCUCUAGACUGAUUGGCUCGAGUGAGAUAGGGGUGUGCGGAACUUCCAGUGGAGCGGUGAAAUGUGUUGAUAUUGGAAGGAACGCCGGUGGCGAAAGCGGCACACUGGGUCUUAACUGACGCUGAGGCACGAAAGCCAGGGGAGCGAACGGC
rnacentral:rRNA from 1 species